GGAGGAGACUGUGUUAGUAGUGUUUUGAGUUGGAUAAGAUUGUAAUUCAUGAAAUGAGAUCAUACACGAGAUGAUCUCAUGUAUAUCAAUCCUGGACCGAUCAAGGGAAGACCACAACUAAAACAUAAUUAGCCCAAGAAUCUCAUGCCCACUGAAGAGGCUGAAAAAAUAGUCUACAGAAAAAUAAUCUAUGUAUAGUAUAUGAAAUGGUAAAUAAGUAUCUGUUGAAUUAGCGAAAAGUAAGCUGAGUGAGACUAGCAAUUAGUAUUGAAUAACACAGAAAAACAGGGAAAAUAAAUAGAAAAGUGAACUUUGUAUAUUAUUAUCAUAAAUGUAAUUUCUUAAUUACUAAAACUAUGCAUACUUAUGUAGUAAAAGAAGAAGGUAUUAGGAAUAAAAGGAAGAGAAAAUGGUUAAAAUGAGAAUGUAUAUGGGUUGUAGGUAAGAAAAAUAUGUACAUAAUGGACAAGGUACAGAAACAGAUGGAGUGAUCCUAAUUUAGUAAUUAGAAAAAAAAAAAACUAGCACAAACCAAACAUUUUUCCAAAAGGUAAUACUUAAACAAUAAAAACAUACAAGUCGGUGUAGCCUAGAAGUAAAAUUAAAACAUAAUGUAGCAUGAACCAAUCUCUGACUUGCCAAGCUGGCCAUUGGAUCCCCUUCCCUCAAGAUCUUAUGGGCCAAAUUGUGGUAACAAAAGACCUAUGUUGGUGUCUGCAGAUCAAACCCUUUAGCCCAGACUGGCAGAUAUGAAAUAUUUUCAUGGGUUCAAACACCUUACAUCUUAGGUUGAAUUUUGGCCCGGUUACAAGGAGGUUCCUUGUAUGGAGUACAGUGUGCCCAACACCUACCUCACACACUAGUUUCCUCAUAUGCUAGAUGGUUAACUUUGCCUUGUGUGGAUUUCAGUGUCUGAGACUACAGUGAGGUUACAUCCAUGCUUUUAUAUAUGCUUUUAUAUAUGCUUUUAUAUAUGCUUUUAGAAGCAUAUAAUCACCUUACCAGUGCACUGGCUACCUAUCUGUCUUAGCUUGAAAGAAUUUGGAUGGUUCUGUGGUCCUCUACAUCCAAAGUUUUAGGAGGGCAAGCUUCUGAGUUUGAAGUCUUGAUUAAGUGGAGGUUUUUUUUUCUCUGCCCUAGAUUUAUUCACACCCAUAUGGGAUGGUUAGCACUGGGCAAUUUCCCAAAUGUCUGCUUUACAUAGGCUUGUGUAUCUUCCAGGGCUUUAAGUUUCUCUUUCUCAGCUUCUCAGGAUUUUCCUUCUUUCUUUGCUUUGCCACCCACUAUGAAAGCAGGAGGAAUUUCCCACACUUCCUUCUGCUUUGAUUGAUACUCUGGAUUAGAGUCUACUCUUUCCUUAUAAAUUUAGCAAUCAAUAUUUCUGUUACUCUGGUCCCCAGCAGUCUCCUGAUGACUGUUACCUUCUUGUCCUUCUAUGCCUCUCACUUAUUUAUGGAGUCAAUGGUCAGGUGUCUUUAUCAAGAUUUGAGGGGACACAGAAGAGAGCUGCUUGCCCAUACUCCACCAUUGUUCCUUGAAUGAGUCAGUUUUUUUUUUUUUUUUAGAGGUGGAAGUAAGCAUGGGAGCCUCUGAAUAAUAUGUUUUAUGAUAUGCUCUAGGUCACAUAAAACAAGCUGGGAAGUAUCAGGGUAGUCAGCCUGUGCUUCAAGAAAGUAAUAUUGUCUUUGCUAUCUAACAUUAAGUAAUCUCUCCAUGGCAGUAACUAACUUAAAAAUCAGCAGGAAAGGAAAGGAAAGGAAAGGAAAGGAAAGGAAAGG
rnacentral:lncRNA from 1 species